rnacentral:rRNA from 1 species
GGAUGAACGCUAGCGGCAGGCUUAACACAUGCACUUCGAGGGGCAUCGGGAGGGAAGCUUGCUUUCCUUGCCGGCGACCGGCGCACGGGUGAGUAACACGUAUGCAACCUGCCCUCUUCAGGGGGACAACCUUCCGAAAGGGAGGCUAAUCCCGCGUAUAUCGGUUUCGGGCAUCCGAGAUCGAGGAAAGAUUCAUCGGAAGAGGAUGGGCAUGCGGCGCAUUAGCUAGACGGCGGGGUAACGGCCCACCGUGGCGACGAUGCGUAGGGGUUCUGAGAGGAAGGUCCCCCACACUGGUACUGAGACACGGACCAGACUCCUACGGGAGGCAGCAGUGAGGAAUAUUGGUCAAUGGGAGAGAUCCUGAACCAGCCAAGCCGCGUGAGGGAAGACGGCCCUAUGGGUUGUAAACCUCUUUUGUCGGAGAACAAAACCUGGGACGUGUCCCGGACUGCGUGUAUCCGAAGAAAAAGCAUCGGCUAACUCCGUGCCAGCAGCCGCGGUAAUACGGAGGAUGCGAGCGUUAUCCGGAUUUAUUGGGUUUAAAGGGUGCGUAGGCGGUCUGUUAAGUCAGCGGUAAAAUUGCGGGGCUCAACCCCGUCGAGCCGUUGAAACUGGCAGACUUGAGUUGGCGAGAAGUACGCGGAAUGCGCGGUGUAGCGGUGAAAUGCAUAGAUAUCGCGCAGAACUCCGAUUGCGAAGGCAGCGUACCGGCGCCAGACUGACGCUGAGGCACGAAAGCGUGGGGAUCGAACAGGAUUAGAUACCCUGGUAGUCCACGCAGUAAACGAUGAAUGCUGGUUGUCCGGGUCGAAUGAGAUCUGGGCGGCGAAGCGAAAGCGAUAAGCAUUCCACCUGGGGAGUACGCCGGCAACGGUGAAACUCAAAGGAAUUGACGGGGGCCCGCACAAGCGGAGGAACAUGUGGUUUAAUUCGAUGAUACGCGAGGAACCUUACCCGGGCUCAAACGGGAGUGGAAUGGACCAGAGACGGUUCAGCCUACGGGCCGCUUCCGAGGUGCUGCAUGGUUGUCGUCAGCUCGUGCCGUGAGGUGUCGGCUUAAGUGCCAUAACGAGCGCAACCCCCGCCGGCAGUUGCUAACGGGCAAUGCCGAGGACUCUGCCGGGACUGCCGCCGCAAGGCGUGAGGAAGGCGGGGAUGACGUCAAAUCAGCACGGCCCUUACGUCCGGGGCGACACACGUGUUACAAUGGGCGGUACAGCGGGAAGCCAGGCGGCGACGCCGAGCGGAACCCGAAAGCCGUUCUCAGUUCGGAUCGGAGUCUGCAACCCGACUCCGUGAAGCUGGAUUAGCUAGUAAUCGCGCAUCAGCCAUGGCGCGGU